rnacentral:rRNA from 1 species
AGUUUGAUCCUGGCUCAGAACGACGCUGGCGGCAUGCCUAACACAUGCAAGUCGAACGGGAUCCAGGCUUCGGCCUGGUGAGAGUGGCGGACGGGUGAGUAACACGUGGGAACCUGCCUUUGGUUCGGGAUAACCGCGGGAAACUGCGGCUAAUACCGGAUGCUCCCGAGAGGGGAAAGAUUUAUCGCCAGAAGAGGGGCCCGCGUCCGAUUAGGUAGUUGGUGAGGUAAUGGCUCACCAAGCCGACGAUCGGUAGCUGGUCUGAGAGGAUGAUCAGCCACACUGGGACUGAGAUACGGCCCAGACUCCUACGGGAGGCAGCAGUGGGGAAUAUUGGACAAUGGGGGCAACCCUGAUCCAGCAAUGCCGCGUGAGUGAUGAAGGCCUUAGGGUUGUAAAGCUCUUUUGCCAGGGAAGAUGAUGACUGUACCUGGAGAAUAAGCCCCGGCUAACUUCGUG